UAGAGGUCUGAGCAGCCUGUCCUGACCCUUUGAGGGGCUUCCUGGACUGACCCCAGAAAAGGGGCCAAGCCCAGGGGGUUUCCUCCUGUCACUCCUUUCCUUUUUUUAAAAAAAUUCCUCUCUUUUCCCUCAUGCCCUUUCUCCUUCCGCUCCCAGGUCGCUCUCCUCAUCUCUCUUUCCACCCCGUCUCUCUUUCCGGGACAGGUAUUUCUCGGAGAACCAGGCUGUGGAGAGUUCUCCAGCAAGAGCUGCAGCUCUGAGUAAAGGCAUCCCGAGGCUCCCUAGGACCGCGCAGUCGCCUGGAGGCCGCCCUCCGGAAGGGGCCGCCCCUGAGCCCGCAGAGCUGGCCCGGGUGGCCUGGGAGAGCCCAAGUGGCCGCGGCGCUAGGCUGGGGUCCGCAGGGAGGGACCGGUGACAGCCUGGGGGCCUCCCCGGCAGAGCGCAGUGAGUAGGUCUGACUGGUUGAUAAUCCAAGUUAGACCGGGCAGAUGCACUUUUCAAGUGGGGUUUGUCGCCGAAGCCCAGGGUGACUCCCGCCCUGACCUUGACCCUAGAGCCAGCGCUUGGGAGUCGCGUGGGGAGGGGUGGAGCGCAGUGGCCCCUGGCCUGGGCGUCAGGCGACAGUGCCAGGCCGCCAGCGCCUCGCCUGGUUAGUGCGGGGACCGCGGCUAGACAGCAAGGAGACCCCUCCCCACAAGCCAGAUCCUGAGAGCUAGGAUCCUACAGGAAAGGUGCACUAUUCUUCCCGAUCCUGGGAAUCGGAUGUCCCGCCGCAGUGCCAGCGCGCGCCCUCGCCGCUCCAGUCUCCUUCCCUCCCAUCCCCACUGCCGGGCUCGGCUCCGGGAUCUGCAGGCAGCGGGCGCGCCUUGGGGUCCGGAGACAGCCCCAGCCCAGCUCCCUGCCGGAUGCGUCCUUACUCCAGUCCCCGGCUCACGGAAAAGCAGAGAAAUACACCCGGAUCCAAGUGCCCCUGGCCCUCAUGACCCGACCCCUGGAGAAGCAGCCGAGUUACCCGACAUCGUGGUCAGCAGGAGCUGGGCUGGAGACUGGAUGCUGCAGCUUCAGAGACUCAGCACCUAGGAGGGCUCCUGUGCAGGGAGAAAGGCAGAGAGAUGCGACAUUUUUAAAGUUUCACAAAACACGAGGCAGCACCCAGGUCCCUGGAGCAGGAGACACACAGAAUUAAUGUUUUAUACCUUCGGGUAUAGGUUUGAGUUUUUCCCCCCUCAUGCCAAGUAUUUAAAACCUCUAGAAACCCAUGAUUUGACAAUCAAUGAUUGCGCGAUACUUUCAAUUUGAAUAUUCAAAGGCUUAACAAAAUGGACUAUCUUCUGCAGAAAUCCUGCACACAGGCACCUCACAGGGAGUCCAGAGAAACAGGGAGUGAGAUGCCUUUGGGUCCUGACCCUUGCUUUUCUCCCAUUUUAAACAUUUUGUCCACCUUCCCACAGACAGAGCAGGUGUCCUCAAAGAUGCUCCAUGUCCCUGCCUCAAAGGCAGCUCAGAAGCCCCCACUGACCUAGGCUGCUCCUCGGGGAUCACCCGAGCCAGGCUGGCUAGCCACAAGGAUUCUCACUUGCCCAAUCUCCAUUUUAAGGGAGAAAUCUCAGGUUUUGGGAAGUGAAUAUGGCAGCCAGUGGGUGUGGCACAGCAAAGGGCCACUCUGGGCCCAGGUUGCAGGCCAGAGGACAGCAGAGGCCUAAGCUUUGCAUUUUGUAUUCCUCUGGCCCGGCUUGGUCACCUGUGGGCUUCCCUCCCUGUCCAUCUUCCCUCCUGCUAGGCCACAGAUACUGCACUGCCAGCAAACAGUCCUUGGGCAUCAACACUCACUUGGCUGCUCAGAGAGCUGUGAGUCAUCACUACUGCCCUGGACCGUCGGAGAUUUCUCUAGGCGGGGAUUCCAUCACCGUGCUGUGGCAUUCCAUAUUCCUUUUUUUCCCUUCUUCCUCUGAACCCCAGUCUUUUUGCCUCAUAGCACCCCUGCUUUUUUUGAGAGAAGGAUGUGGGGUUUGUUUUUAAGGCUCUGAGGAGAGAGGUAGGGGGCAUUCAGAGUCAAGCUGCCUCAUUGGACCCCUCAUAAGUGACUUGGGCCUGUGGUGAUGGACAUUUUCCAAGCACUGCCUGAGAUGCUCUCUAGCCUGUGAUUUGAAAGAUGGGAGAGACUGGGGUGGUGUAGAAUGCCAGGCCAAAUCGUCACAGAGAGACAGAAGGGUCCCUUUUGUAAAUAACUAGGUAUUUCCAGGAAUGCAGAUAAAGUGAUAGUACAGGUCUCUAUUCUUUAAUCCCUGAGUUCUCUGAAAUGAAAAAAAAAGUAAGCUUUAGCUUCAAAGAUCUUUAGAAAAAUAUCCAAAAAAUUAAAAUGUAUCAAAUAUAGUAUAUUAGGUAUAGGGUAUAACAAACAGCUCAGCUAAAGGGUCUCUGGGGAUGAUAAAAGCAUGAUGGGUAGGUAGAACUGUCUGUCAGGCAGGUGGCGUCACUUAUCUGGGAGAAGGUCAGGGCUGGGGACACAGCGGUUGCAUCUGUGGUGGAGGGUAGAGUGAGGUGCGGCUGUAUUUGGUCCAGCUGCUGUUUAUCAGCCACUGGAGCCUAUUUCUGUCAGGCCAGGCCUAAGGACUGGACCAGGGAAGAACCCCGGGAUCUGAGAGGAGCCCCCUCCCUGGUACCACUUCCUCCACUCUGCAGCUUUUCCCACUGCUUCUUUUCUCCUUUUGGUCUUGGUCUUACUUUUGGUUUGCUUUUAAGAAGAUUUCCUCUUUGUCUUUUGGCUUUUUGUUGUUGUUGUUGUUGUUUACCCUCACUUACAUUUUCUAUUUCUUGUUUUUCUUCCUAUUGAUGUGUUUCUUCAUUUCCUGUCUUCACUCUUUUCUCCUCUCUCUGGCUCUAUAUGUGCCUCCCUUUCCCGUGUUCUGGAGUGCUGUCUCAUUCUUUCAGACUAAAUAUUCUUCCUCUGCUCUCCACUCACACAGAAAUGGGCAGGGGUGGCACAGUUUUCUCUUGGCAACAUCAAGGACAUUGUUGAUGCUGGUGACUGGGUCCUCCAGAGAGAACAUAGGCUGGAAGGUGCAGGCUCCUUUGAUGCCUGGGGUCUACAGAGACAACAAAGAGCAAAGACAUCUGCAUCUUUUCUCCCAGAAGCCUUUGCCUGAGCCAUGGCUCAAGUCCUGGGGCAUCUGUGUGCUGAUGCUGUUGCUGAGAGUGAGAGUGUGGUGCUGUUGCUGCUAAGCAACGACAGGAAACUAUUCCCCUAGGCCUGUUUUCAGAACCUUCCCCCUGCCAUCUAUACUACAGGUCAACCCAACAUUGAGGAGUUUUGAUUCUGGCUCUUGUAACCGAAAAGCCUCAGAACAGACAUUUCAGAGCCAAAAGCCAUGUUUGAGGAGUCAAGAGACAAUACUUUCUCAGUGGAGCUCCCUUUCAUCUGUCUCUGUCUCUGUCUCUGUCUCUGUCUCUGUGUCUCUAUGUGUGUGUAUGUGUUGAUGAUGAUGAUACCUAGAGCAACCAGCCAUUGUUUCUUCUUUCUUUUUGUUUUUUGGGUUUUUUUUGUUUUGUUUUGUUUUGUUUUUUUUUGCCCUGAGAUUCCAAAUGACUGUAGAACUGGGUACCCUUUUGUUUGCUUGCUCAUUCAUUCAUUCAUUCAUUCAUUCAUUCAUUCAUUUUUGUGUUGAGAUAGAAUCCAGGGCAUGCUGGAUAAGCACUCUACAACUGAACUACGUUUCCAGCCCAUAGAGGAUUAUUUAAAGUUCUCAGGUGUUGUUUCCUGGGUAUUAGACCCGUGCUGUGAGAUAUUCCCACUGUACAGUUGAAGAAGCCAACUUAGAGGGAUGAACAUCUUGCCAAGUUCAGCAAGCAUGCAAAUGCCAGAAUUAGGGUUCAAACUUUUGUAAGUCUCACACCAAAGUCCUUGCUGUAUUAUCAGUUUGUCCAAGGAGCUUAAGACUGCAGCAUACCGAUGUGGGAAUGUUCUAAAAACACAGAACCCUGAAGAAGCAACUGGCUAGAGGUGAAUACAAGCUGUUCCUUCUGCUGACUGUGGUUUGUAUGUCUGACCAGGACCCUCUUCCUGGGGGCUUGUUGCUUCUAGGCUGCCUCCCCUGAAGUCCCAACAAUCCAUUUGAGGUUGUAAUUAAAAAAACACCCCAAAAUUGUGGAGUCUGGCAUGCUGUCACAGGCUCCUUUGCUUAUAAUACAGUAUCUUGAUGUUGAGUGUUGGAAGGGAUCUUGACAUGCUGAGAGGGACUGACAUUUUAGCCAGUGUCUGUCUAGCUUGUAGCUCCAUGGCUGGAUCAUAGAAUAAUCUGUGUGGAGGAGAUGGGUCUCACUAUUUGUGAGGCAGAUUUUGCCAUUAUUGGAAUCCUUUCAAUAUAGUGAUCCAUAGUCCAACUAGGUGUUCCUUGAGCACCAGGUAUAUACCAGGUAGGGCAAUGAGUACCAGGAAUACAAAGAUAAGUAAGCCUUGGUUUCUGCCAGCAAUGGCUCUGUUCUCCAUGUGUGCAUUACUGCUUUCCUAUUGUGGGUUCAUUUACAGAUUCAUUCACCAUUUAUUCAACAACCAUAUAUUGAUUGCUCUGACCAGUCCAGUGCUUGCUUUCCACUCAAACCUUCUUUCCUUAAAGCCGCUGUCCAUAGUCCCCCCCUCUUCUUCAUAAAUCAGCUUUUCAGACCUCUGCCUUUCCAUGUCACAAGCGUAGAAAUCCUUUAGUUCAUCCCUGACCUCCGUAAAGUCAGCCAGCAGCACCUGGAGUGGGUGGAAUGGAUGUUUUUAAUGGGGAAAAUUUUUAACUGAAAUUAUUGAUAGUCUUUUGUGUGCAAACGACACAGCACAGCAUCAUGCUUUUCUCUCCCAAGUAGGUUUUAUAAAACGUAGACAUGCACAUGUUAGAAGGCCUGUGGCACAAGGAAAGGUGCAGUUUAUUCCUUUCCAAUUUGACUACAGCCCUUUAGUAAUGCAAAGUUCUUUUGUCACCUUGACUUUGGGACACUGUUACCGAAUGUUGUGGGAAAUAUCGAGUUCCAAAAAGUUGAGUACAUGGAGGAAACAAGUAUUCAUUGGUGUAUCAUAGGAUACACAUUUGGUCCAUGUGAAAAUGACCAGGAAGGCUAGUAGAUGGAGGUUAUGUAAGAUUUUGUACAUAGUCAAUUUCUCCUCAUAGUGUACAUUCAGAAUUUAGACUUUCCUUUAAGAAAAGCUUAUGAUGAAUCAGCCCUUGAUCAUUUAUUAUUAGGCAAGAAAAAUACCAUAAUAUACUGCUUGAAAAGUUUCUGUUUUACUUACAACAUUUUUUAUUGUGUCAUAUUUCUAACAUAUAAAAGUGUAUAGAGAAUACUGUCAUGAAAACCUGUGACUAUAUCACCAUGGUUGAGGAAUAAAAUGGCUGAGUGAUCACACAUUUAUGAAUUACUAAGCAUUAGAAUUUCUGGAUUAUUCCACUCAAGAUAUUUGGUUGGGGGAAAAGUUUCUUAAUGUAAAAGAUCUAAUACCUUGCUACUAUUUGUUUGGUCUACAGUUUUUCCUUUUGGAAUGUGUAACUUUUUUCCUGUUCUUUCUUGUAAUCUACUCAAAAUGCAUUGCAUUUUGCAAAUUUAUAUGUCUUCUUUUAUUAGAGGUUAUUGUUAAAAAUACUUAUGUCUCACAUAUCUAAUAAAACAUGAUGCCCCUGUUUGAAAAUAAGUAUAGAACAAUGUAUUAUUGUUUAGUUUGACCCUGGGAGAUUAUAGUUUCUGACUUAUUGUGCUCGCUUUAAUCAUACCAGAGAGAUUAAACCCCAAAUAACUAACUUAUAUGUCUUUUUAGAAAUAUCUCAUAGCACACACAGUUAUAAAAUGAUACACCAAUAUAUUUUGUACUACUUCAGAAGUUCAUAAACUUUCCUUCUUGAAGAUAUUUUAAGAUACUUCAUCAGCCAUCUUAAGAAUUUGCCCACAAACGCUUACUAUUCAUCCAUGGUCAGCUUGUUUUAGAGAGCUGUCAUCCAGAGUCAGGUGCUAAAGAGCUGUCCGUCUUUGUGGUGGUUUUAGUUCAACCUAAGAAGAGUCUACUGAGCACCUACAACAUGCUGGCCCUAAGCCAGGUGCUAGGGAUGCAAGGUGAGCCAUGAGUCCUCCACCCCCUUGAGUCUUUACCUAGAUAAUCCCUCUUUAUCUAGAGUAUAGGAGUUUUCACUUUGUCUUUCUUAAGUCCAUAGUUAGUGAAUAUGUUGUAUAAGAUGAACAGUGUAACAAUGGGGAGGGCACUUUAGACAGAAACCAGUUGUUGGACUGAAAGUUAAUUUUGGUGAGUCACUAUAAUAUCAUUAGAAUGCAGUGUGACUUAAACCCUUGGAAUCAGUUACUAUUUUGGUACUUUAAAUACAAGUGGUUUUAUUCCUGACUAUAUAUCUAUAUUUACAUAUAGAAAAAGUAGAUAUUCAGAUACCCUUCUGUGGAUACACAUCUCUAUAUGCAAGCACAUAUCUUACUGUUGAGGUUAGUUUUCCCCUUUGUGGACUUUUCCCUUUGUGGACUUUCUUUUGGGGGCACUUCAAUCCUACCAUGCCAUUGCAUUAUUAACUCAUCUGUGGAAAGUCAUAACGAUGAUUUAAAAGGACUUACUAAAUAAACAAAGUAAAGAUGUGGUU